GAUGAUGGACUUUCCCAAACUUUGGAAUCCUUGUUGAACUGAGCUGAAGUCUUCUGCCUGCCUAAGUAGGCUGCAAGAAUUCUGGGAAGUAUUGGUCUCCUCGCCAUUGUUCUUCUUUUGUUCAUCACGCAUCUUACUUUUUCCUCGACAAUGACCUUUGCGGACUGGCUUGUAGCUCAAGACUUUUUCCUGAGAACAACUACUUUAGUGCUGUCGCAGCGGAUGCGAUCGAGGGAAUAAAGUGUUCCCCAGUCAUUCGAGAACAAGUUCUUCCUCAUCUCUGUCUACAAAAGGGAACGCCAUGGGAGGAGCUCGGCAGCUAGCGUCGAUCGAGGACUCCUUGGAGGGGUGGGUGGAAGAGGAGAAGCAACCUCGGAAAUGUCGUACAGGAGCCAGCAGCAGCAGCAGAACUACGCGAGGCUGCACGGCGAGGACUACAUGAGCUACGUCGCCAGGAUCGAGAAGACGACGAGCAUGGUCGAAGGGCCGCACUUCCCCAACCUUCACGCCAUUUACAAGCACAAGGAGGGGAACGAGGAGGAGGAGGAGAAGUGCCAAGUCGGGCGCUUCGGCAGGGCGGUACACCUGGAGAGGUUCGACGACGGCAAGCGCGCCACCAUCAAAGCAACCUGAGAGUACCAUGCAUGGCUUGGAGAUGAAACUAUAACGCUCUAUGUACUGUUGAUAUAUGCUCCGCUACUUCUCAAUAAAGGUUAACUAGCUAUUAAAGAUCUUAUGCUCCA